UACGUAGAGGGCAAGCGUUGUCCGGAAUCAUUGGGCGUAAAGAGCGUGUAGGCGGCCAGAUAAGUCCGCUGUGAAAUCUCGAGGCUCAACUUCGAGCUGUCGGUGGAAACUGUCUGGCUAGAGUCCGGAAGAGGAGAAUGGAAUUCCUGGUGUAGCGGUGAAAUGCGCAGAUAUCAGGAAGAACACCCGUGGCGAAGGCGGUUCUCUGGGACGGUACUGACGCUGAGACGCGAAAGCGUGGGGAGCGAACAGG
rnacentral:rRNA from 1 species